UCGGAUCAGUGAAAAGAUACACACCAAAGCAACCACCACCUAUGUUUGGCCUUUUCAUUCUGUAUGGAGACCUGCUCGCGUACUGAACGGUGCUCCGCGGUAGUUUCGAGUUUACGCGAGUGUUUUUUUUUUGAACACCUCUUUCAGGGCCGGACCCCGCCGCCGAAUGCAGUGCGUUGUUCGAUUUUAUUUUCGCGUGAUGUAAGAAGCUUCCAAAAACCCGUGCGAUAAUUGCAAUAGUGUGCUGCCGCCGCCGCCGUCGUGUUAUCCCUGCGGUGCGAAGGAAGGUGUCAUUCGGUUGGGUGCUGCGGCGUUUGUUACUCAUCGCGGGUAAUAAUUGUGGUGCGAAUUACAGCAAAAAAAAAAAAGAAGUGUGCGUGUGUGCUUCCUUGGUCGUGUUUCGUUUACUUGCCUUAAAUAGUGAGAGCAAACAAAAGAAAGGUUUUAUAGAAAAGUACGUUCAGUGCAACCAAACCCCCGGCCCCCUCCUAGUGUAUGAAGAUUACUUAUCGGCUGUUUUGCUUCAGUGUAAGUGGUGACCCUGCUUGAAUGUGUUAUUUUCGAUAAGAAGCAAGGAAAAAUGUUAGAAAGUUGAAUGGUGCACUUCUUCCUAGUCAGACGACUGAAUACUGAACCCGGGAACCGAGGCCUCAUUCGCUCGUUAAAAAUCAUUUUUUGGUGCAAUCCAAUCGAAGUGUUAUUCGAAAGAUCAUCAACGGAUUCCGUGAAGUCAGUGAGUGAGACAGGAUCGGUGUUCCUGAAGCCAGUUCCAGUGAAUCUGUACUGAAACAAGGAUCAGAACCGAUCGACAAUUCUUCGGUAGCGCGCCCCAAAUCGGCAGAGUAAUGUUAAUGCCCGCAUGCGGCCACGGAUCGGUGUGACUUCCGCGCUUGAAUGCCCUCCAAACGGAAGCGCAAACGCAAGAAGCGACCGAAACCGACCGAUUGCUGCACCGGUAAAUCCGAGUAAGAUUCGGACCACAUUCGGACAACGCUGGUGGGGCAUCCAGUAAACUGAACCGACAACAGCGCCUAAUGUUCCUCCUGCUGGGGUGGAUCCUGACGGUGGGCUUGGUUGGCACCACCAGUCCGCUAAGUGUGAUUCCAGCUAAGUCACAGCAUCAGCAGCAGCAUCCGCAGCAACAACCAUUGCAACAUCCUCCUCUGGAAGGGGCUCCGGUUGCGGCGCAGUCCACCGGGAUCGGCAGUCCCAAUGGGUUGAUCAUCGAGGACUCACCGAUCGCCCCUUCCUCGCAGUACAUCGUACAGAAGGACGUGUGGAGCAGUGGCACAGGUGGCGUUGGGGGUGCUGCUGGCAGCAACUAUCAUAAUAAUCAUCAUCACCACAACCCCAAUCAGGCUCCAUCACAGUCAUCAUCCUCUAGUGAUUCUUCCAGUAGUAGUGGUAGUAGUAACCCUAGCGAUGACCCCCAUCGAUCCCCACUGGUUCCCGAUAGUAACGAUACUUUCCGUUAUCUUGUCCCAGGGACAGGAGGCGGUGGUGGUGCGAGCGGUUCCAGCUUCAGCUGGGCCACGUUCUUCAGCGGGAACGAGUGGACACUGAUGGAGUGCUUUUCGCUGCGCAGGACUCACCAUCUGUACUAUCAGAUCGGGAAUGGGUUGUUUCUGCUAGCCUUUCUGGCCCCGAACGCCCCGUUCGGGAUGCUUUGGUUGCGCUGUCUGGUGAUCGCCGCCAGUGUGCUGCUGAUCAUCUGGGGUUGGCAGGUAGAGUGCACCCUGGAUGCCGUCAUCUGGGCCAGCCUGUUUCUCAUUAUCAACGCGAUCUACGUGGGAGCUUUGCUGUGCAAGCUGCGACCGGUCAAGUUCGAGAAGGAGAUCGAAGCGGUCUACGUGGCCCUGUUCAAGCCGCUGCGGGUAUCCCGGCAUCAGUUCAAGAAGGUGCUGAACUGCAUGAAACUGGUCCGGUCGCUCAAGUACCAGGAGAUCUACGCCCAGGAGAAGGUCACCAAGGUGGACAGUCUGUCGCUGGUGCUGUCGGGGAAACUGGUGGUCUCCCAGAACCAGAAGGCCCUGCACAUAGUCUUCCCCCAUCAGUUCCUGGAUUCGCCGGAAUGGUUUGGUGUGUCCACGGAUGACUACUUCCAGGUCUCAAUCAUGGCAAUGGAGGAGUCUCGAGUUUUGAUCUGGCAUCGGGACAAACUGAAACUGUCAAUUAUGGCGGAACCAUUUCUGCAGGCCGUGUUCGAUCACAUCCUGGGACGGGAUGUGGUGAAAAAGCUGAUGCAAGUUACUCAGGUAAGCGAAACGAUGGCCCAAAGCAACGGAUACAUUUCGUCCGGUUACGGCGACGAUGCCGAGGAUAAACCGAUGCUGCUGAUGAAGGGUAAAUCGGGCGACAGCAACGGGUUAGGAAAUGGUGGUGGUGGCGGCGGCGGCGGCCACGGCGGAGGAGGACACGGUAUUACGGCCCUCAUCAAUCGGCAACUGCAGGAGGAGAGCCUGCCACUGCUGCUGAGUCCGAACAAUCCAUCGCCGCUGAUGUCCCUGCAUAUGCGUCUGCUGCACUCGGUCGAAAAUAAGUUCAUCAAAAAAAUCUACGACGUAUGACGGCACCGUAGCCGAGUCGUCGGCGUUUCCACAGCAACGACAGUAACAACGAACACCGGAAGAAACAACACCCAAAUUGCAUUUGUCUAGUCCCUCAAAUUGGCCGUUCAGUUUGAGAUUUUCAUACGUGCGAGUUUUUUUUUCUUUUUAAAUAUUUUGAGUGAGAUUUUCGAGCGAAUCUACGACGCGACCGCCCGAUCGAACAGCAGCACCGAUGCAACAACGAACGGAGAAUGGCUCCCAGUGCAACGAAUAUUUUGUACUAUACUAGUUCUUAGUUUUAGUUUGUAAUCUGUUUUAAACAUCGAUUUUGGUUGCUCUGCCUAGGAUAUCCAAAUACUACUACUGUGCAGCGGAUCCGAACGCGUGGCGCCUCGGCCGGAUCGACGAAACGGACCACGAGACGGCCGUUUAAUAUUUGCCCUAACGGUGUGCCCCCAGUCAGCAUCACCAUCAGUAUCAUCACCAGAACCACCACCACCACCACAAGCCUAGCCGGGUCCUGCCGGGUGAUUUGUGCCACGGUAUCAUCCCGCUGGAUGUGAACUGGGCACAGUCGGAGGAGUACCCAGCAGAACCGGGUGUGUAGCGAGAAGCUGUGCUUUCUUUUUCAUCGCUUAGGUACUACUUUUGAAAUAAUAAUGAAAUAAAAAAACCCAAACAAAACAAAACAACUCAAACACUAUGACAAUUAAAUAUUAUUGCAAAGCAAGGAGGAAACUUUUCUAGCGCCUUUCGGAAAGCUGAGAGCGAAACCGUUUUUAGAUCUAUAGCGAAACCAAACUCAUACUUUCUCAGCUUAGUUCCUGCGUUCUUCGUUGUACAACGUUCUUUAGAUGGUAACUUAUAUUUACAUGUCUAGUUGUAAUGAAACAAGCAAACAAACAAACAAAAAGAAAACACAAGAAAUAAGAAACGUUUAUUAUUGUUUUUUCGCUAAGUCUAAUCUAAUAAAAUACAAUCGAUUUACUAUGACUUGCUAUAUUUGAAGGUAGAAUAGCAAAUGGGACAGUGUAAAUUAGUAGGCCGUAACAAAUUCGACAGAGAAUAGAAACAGAAGCCUUCUGCGAUCCUCCUGUAUUUAUAGUCGUAGGCAGUAGGCGUUUACGGAACCGGUUGAAUGGCAGGAAAAAAAACAAUUCAAUCAACAGUCAGUCAGUCAUUAAAAAGGUAGUUUCAUUGUUACAAACAAACAAAAGAAAACAAAAAAUCAAAUAACUCUUGAUGUUUGAAGUUAUAUUUAGCGGCAACAAACGUAACAAAACGAUAGUGUUAGAUGUCGGUACAGCGGAAAGGGUGUUUCUGUUUUUUGUAGUAGUAAACUUGGUUUGGCGAAACCCAGGGUCAGGGUAUAGUGAAUGGAUUCGGAACGAAAAAAAGAGGAUGAUGUUUCAAUCAUAACCGGAACUUUGAAGGCUAAGAGAAUAACAAGAUUGACUAAACUACUGUUGGUAAGUGUAGAUAGGAAACAAACAGCACGGAUAGGGGGAAAAGAAGAAAUUCGAUAGGGCUGAAACCGGUUUGACAACAUCCGCACUUUUUCGAGGAUUUAUUGAGGACAAAUUUCGUUAGGAAUCAACAGACAUUUACUUUUUGAGAAACGCGAUUGGUCAGUCAGAUAAAAAUUCUCAAUAUUCGCAUAAUUAGUUGCCUUACCUAUCAUCCUAGGCCUGUGAUGUUCUGAAUGAGAAAAAUACAUUUGAAAAAUUUCCGGCAAUAAUCAAGAGAAACUGCUACUCUCAAUUUGAGUAAGUUUUGAGUUCGAAGCCUUUCUCUAAAAACGAAUGACGAAUCAUACUCAAUUUUGAGUAGUUCCUUUUGAGCGUGUAGAACUUGAUCGAUCCACUUUACUCGCAGUGCCCUACUUUCUCAUACCAAUCCAAACAGAUUCGUGGAAAAUUUACAAUUCCGGCCCUUCCAGUUACACCUGCUUAUGCAAUCGGGAACAUAAAAACUCUCUCCAAAGUUUGAUACCUUGCUUGAUAAACGUUUUUUAAGACUAAAUCAACAAAAUAAACCAAAUUUCGUAUUAUACAUCCGACGGGCAUUGAGUAUAUCGAAAAUUGUUGAAUUCCGACUGCUUCCGAUAAGUCAAUCGAACAUUAAGUUUCAACAAGUCGACAAUUUAUUCAACAACAGAAAUUAUUACACCAAAAUCCGAUGCGAUUUUACCUACAAAUGACAAUUCUGUUGGAAAAUCUUCUCUGAAUGGAUUCCGAAGUGAAUUUUGACUGAUAGAUAGAGAAAUUGGAAUGUGAAAUAUAGAAGAGUCGAAACUCAUCCGUUAGGGAAAACUGGUUAUAAAAAAGCGAAAUCGAAGAGCGAAACUGAUCACAAACGGACGAGAAGGAGUUAAUUCCAAUAUAAAUUCUAAUACUGAUGAGAUGCCUGAUGGAGAGAAGUGCUGUGUUUUGUGUGUGAUUGCGAAUAAAUGAAAAAAAAAAAUUAGAUAAGUUAACUGUAAACCAUGCUAAUGUCCCGAUGCGGAGCGACGAAGGAAGGAGGUUUUGAAAACAAUACAAAAAUUAUGUGACAUAAGUGUUAUUUGAAAAAUAAAAAUGAGAACCGAUCGAUGGAAAUAAUUGAAUUCCAUGUGGAGACUAGCUAAACAAGUCGGAUUGAAAAUGUGUGCAGAGUAAAGAUAUUUUAAAAUAAA